AGGACCACAAUCUGAAACUUAUUCGUCCGGUAAAAGAAACCCACCAGCAGUACCGCCGAAGCCGGGCCCAAAACCUCCAACUCCAACGAUAAGACAGGCAGAAGGAAGGCAUAGUCUUACAGAUCGUGUUUUAUCCGGCCGGACACAACAAGAGCCAGACAAGUACAAAGUUUUGUAUACUUACACGACACACGAUGAAGAGUAUCUUAGCAUUAGGAAAGGUGAUAUAGUAACUGUUCUGAAGAAUUGUUCUGGUGUCUUCUUUUGGGCGGAACUUAAAGGACAGUGUGGAUAUAUUCGAAAGGAUUUCUUGCAAAAAGUUGUUGAAACAGGAUCAAAUGCAAAUGUCUUGAGUGAAUUAGAGGCUAAGUUUCGGGCUAGAAAUAGUGCUACUUAGGAUACAAAGAUGAUGGAAUGAAAGCGAUCAGUUAUUUUUACGCUCGCGGCACUACUAAGAAUGUUUAACUGCCUAUAAAACAAGUUUGGAAUUUUUGUUCGGUUUAACGUCGCUCCAACGCAUUUAUGUCAUAUGGCGACUUCCAGCUUUGAUGGUGGAGGAAGAGCCCAGGUGUCCCUCCUUGCAUUAUUUCAUCACGAGCGGGCACCUGGGUAGAACCACCGACCUUCCGUAAGCCAGAUGGAUGGCUUUCUCACAUGAAGAAUUUAACGCCCCGAGUGAGGCUCGAACCCACAUCGAUGAGGGUAAUGUGUGCGUGUAAAAUCGAACUGUGAUCUUUAGCAGAUAUUCGUAUUGAAGCAUUAAUGUAUGUAAGCCAUCCUACAACCAUAAGAAAAUCUACAAACAUGUGAAUCUGAUGUAAAAGUAUAUAACACUGCAGUAACUUUUGAUAUUGAACUAAUAGGCUUUAAACAGUGAUAAAUAAUUCAUUCAAACAGAAGCACUGUUGCAGUUUUUAUAUACGUGCCUUCGUCAAGUCAGCUUUUCUGGCGGAAACAUUCUUGCUAUGUUGGUUGAUCGGAUAAUGAGGAAAACAUUAUAUGAAAUUUUUCUAUAGAAUAAAUUCUAUUCAUUCUAUUAUAUGGUAAAGGUGUUUUGAAAAGGGUAGUAUACCACGAGUUGUUUAUAUUUUUGUUUGUUUGCUCAUCAUAUCACUUCAGUAAUUUUGUUUUUCAAAAUAAUGCAUCAAUAUACGUACAUCAUUUCAUUAUGUACGAAUGUAAGAAUUUUUACAUAUCCAGAUAGUUUACACUUAUGUGAAGUUCUGUCUUCGCCCAUGGUCUUUACCAUAUAUAAAUGUUUUUUUUAAUUUAUGAACGGAUUGUAAUGAAAUAUCAUACUAAUUUCUUAAAGUUCGAUUGUAAUUCAGGCUCAAACCAUUAUCACACGGGCUGAACAGCUGCCACCUUAACCAAUAAUGAGAUUUAGAACAAAUAUCAUUCAACUUCUGAUAUGUAUUUUUGUGAAACCUUUCUCUAUUGAGGAACAAUAAGAUAUGAAACUUAACAAUUAAACAAUAUCACUUAAUAAAUCGGAAUUUUAAAAAAUGCUAGAAGUAAUACUAAUUUGAAAUGUCACUGUCACACUCAAAAUACAAUUUUUUGUAUUUUCUUCUAUGGCUUAACUAAGUGUACACACCUCAACCUUGGAGAUAUAUUGUAGUUCCAAAUGUAACAUAAGCUAAUAUUCCUACACACAACCACUAAUGCCAGUUCCAAAUUUCAUACAGUUACGUCGCGUCUUGCACGCCUCCUAAAUCGCCAGUCCAGCUCAUCCCAUGAAAGCUCAAUCGGAGUGAGUUCCAGGUAUUUUGAAAUGCCACGGUAGGAUAAUAUUUUGCUGCAGCAGUAUCUGUGUGGUCCGGGCAGUGUCUAUCAAGAUUUUUUGUUAAUAUUACACCGCAUUUUGAUUCCUUCAUACUACAACAAGUUCCUUUUUUGUGUGUGUAGAGACACCCAAUCCCAAACCAUCACAGAACUUUCAUAACCUACAGUCGUCAUCGAGUCUCUCGCCAUGACUCCUGUACACUCACAUCCUACCAUCACUGUUGUUUAGAUAAAAUUAGCUCACGUAGGUGAAGAGUACAUUUGCCCAUCCAGCCGGGUCCUUCGCUUGUGCUUAGUGCCCAGCACUCAUGCUACUGGUGACGGCAUGCAGUAAGAAUUACACCAUGAAAUGAUCACGUGGCUUUCAUUCCUUGGUCACUAAGACGUUCGAAAACGUUUUCUCGGACGGCAUGUUGUGACUUCCGACUUGAUAUUGAGGUAUUAAAGCUUCCUGAAAGUGGUUAAGUAUAUAUGCAUCUUUGGUCGUGAUAAAUUUGUGCGCGGUUAUUGAUGAUUUUCUGUCCUACACGCGGGUACUAGAGUACUCGACUCAGCCCUAUAUUACAUUUUAGUAAUUGUUUUUCGCUAACGUAUUGAAAUAUUAGAAUAAAAUAUAGAUAGUUAUAAAUGUAUUCUCUAUUUUCACUGUCAGAAUGUUUUGCAUUGGUAUGGAACAGUUUCUAUAAAAUGUGUAAAUCUUGAUUAAAGUCAUGUGUUGUUGUUUUCCAGAAACCAUGAGAAUUACGAAGGUUUAUUUGUUUUACAUGUAUGAUCAAAUGAUUUUUCACUCCGAAAUUCCAAAUGUUACAUUUUCACGAGUUCUUACUUAAAGUCAUCUCUUAUUCAAUCAGACGGUGUUUUAUUAUAUUAACAGCGUUACUAAUAUCACGUAAAACCCGAAUAAAUAUUAACCAUUUUCCAAUUCAAAUGCAAGGCAUACAAAUAAGUUAAUACAGUCCUUGAUCACAAACACUUGAGUAUCAAUCUCUCACACGAUCAGCGCUGGUCCGCACACAUCGAAUACAUAAAAAGUAAAGCUUAGGAUUAACGUUAUGAAAAAAAAUCAGCUUAAUAGAAAGUCACUUAAAGCAAUCUACGUAUCAUUUAUAAGACCAAUUCUGUAAUAUGAUGAUGUAUUAUUUGAUAACUGUACUCAGUAUGAAAAACGAGAUUUAAAACGUCAUUUAAGCGGAUGCUAAAUAAUGAUCUACCAAGUGUUCCCCGUUUCUUCUUUUCUGGUGACCACAAACUGCAAGUCCUACAUACAAGAUUGCGUACCCAAUGCAACUCUCUAUCAUCUGAUUUAUUUGAGAAAAAUAUCAUUGACACUCCUUUGUGCGAAUGCGAUGAAAUAGGAAAUUCUUACCACUACUCCUUGUUUGUCCAAAAUACAUAAAUCUACGUACUGAUCUACCUACCACUAUUUCCCAGUUGUGUAACUCUUCUAUCAAAGUCAUCAUUAAGGGUAAUAGUUCAUUAUCUCUCGACUCCAAUAUAUCAAUCUUUAAUGCUGUUCAAAAAUACAUAAGAGAAACGAAACGAUUUUAGAGAUAAAAAUGACGCACUGUUCAACAAAUAGCAAAUUUCAUACACGCUUUAUUUCCCUGAUAUUAUCUAUACAUACUGAAUACCAAUAGAGCAAACAAGAUUCGGCUAUUCAUUUGUUAAUGUUAAUUUUUAACCUGUUUCAAAAUAGUUAUAUUUAAUGCAUUGCUGCAAGACUCUUAUAUCGUUAUAAAUCUCAAUAUCUCCUUAACUAAUGGUCUGUAAAUGUUUCAUGAAUUUCUGAAAUAAAAUAUGUUUAAACUAACUUUUAAAAAGUUCCGGGGGAUGUAUUUUGCUGUUGUCCUUGUAAGAUGGACUAAAGAUUAAGCCACUAAGCUUCAACCAUGCUUUCAUUUUCAGCUUAGUACACGUG
rnacentral:lncRNA from 1 species